GGCUUUAUAGUUUAUUAUUAGAAUACUGGCUUUGUAAAUCAGGGGUGGGCUUGACCCUUUGGCCU
rnacentral:tRNA from 1 species